rnacentral:misc_RNA from 1 species
GAUCAUUAGUGAAUAUAGGACGUCCAACUUAACUUGGAGUCCGAACUCUCACUUUCUAACCCUGUGCACUUGUUUGGGAUAGUAACUCUCGCAAGAGAGCGAACUCCUAUUCACUUAUAAACACAAAGUCUAUGAAUGUAUUAAAUUUUAUAACAAAAUAAAACUUUCAACAACGGAUCUCUUGGCUCUCGCAUCGAUGAAGAACGCAGCGAAAUGCGAUAAGUAAUGUGAAUUGCAGAAUUCAGUGAAUCAUCGAAUCUUUGAACGCACCUUGCGCUCCAUGGUAUUCCGUGGAGCAUGCCUGUUUGAGUGUCAUGAAUACUUCAACCCUCCUCUUUCUUAAUGAUUGAAGAGGUGUUUGGUUUCUGAGCGCUGCUGGCCUUUACGGUCUAGCUCGUUCGUAAUGCAUUAGCAUCCGCAAUCGAACUUCGGAUUGACUUGGCGUAAUAGACUAUUCGCUGAGGAAUUCUAGUCUUCGGAUUAGAGCCGGGUUGGGUUAAAGGAAGCUUCUAAUCAGAAUGUCUACAUUUUAAGAUUAGAUCUCAAAUCAGGUAG